GACUCUAAGUCUACAUGUUCAGUUGGCAGAGCAUGAGACUUAUACUCUCAGGGUUGUGGGUUCAAGCCCCACAUUGGGCCA